rnacentral:tRNA from 1 species
AUCUAAGUAGUUUAUUAGAAUAUUGUAUUGAAGCUACAGAGGAAAAUUUAUAUUUCUUAGAUA